rnacentral:rRNA from 1 species
AUUGAACGCUGGCGGCAGGCCUAACACAUGCAAGUCGAACGCGUGGCGGACGGGUGAGUAAUGUCUGGGAAACUGCCUGAUGGAGGGGGAUAACUACUGGAAACGGUAGCUAAUACCGCAUACCAUCGGAUGUGCCCAGAUGGGAUUAGCUAGUAGGUGGGGUAAAGGCUCACCUAGGCCACGAUCCCUAGCUGGUCUGAGAGGAUGACCAGCCAAACUGGAACGGAGACAAGGCCCAGACUCCUACGGGAGGCAGCAGUGGGGAAUAUUGGAAAAUGGGCGAAAGCCUGAUGCAGCCAUGCCGCGUGUAUGAAGAAGGCCUGCGGGUUGUAAAGUACUUUCAGCGGGGAGGCGUUACCCGCAGAAGAAGCACCGGCUAACUCCGUGCCAGCAGCCGCGGUAAUUC